UGGCUGCCAUGUUGUAGAGACACUCAGGUAAUCUCAUGAAGUGACCCACAUGGAAAGGAACUAAGGCCAAGUGCUAACAGCCAGUGUCAACAAGCCACCAUGGUCCAUCCAAUUUCACGUUCAAAUGCUUACUCAGCAAAUGAUGCAGGUGGCUGUUCCACUGGUCUUGAUGUGAGGCAGAGCGCUAAGAACCAGCAGAUCGAUGAUGGGUCAUGGCCCUAGCCUGAGUGGUGGUGUACCAUCAUGUAACUUCUUGGCACUUGAUUUCCCUUAUCUAUCAAAUAAGCGCCUUGAACAACUACAUCCUAAAAUUCUCCGAAAUUGAGAAAGUCACUGAAUUUUGAAUAUUCAAGUGACACAUCUUCUAAACCAGUAAAACAGAAACACAUACACUUGUUGUAUGUGUAAAGCAAUAUAUUUUUAGUCAUGUUUGCGUUCUUGACACUUGAAGUUAUACUUUGCAUGGUAAUUUCACUGCUGGAAAGAUUUCAAAAAGGAAGCAUUAUCAAUAAGGUAAAAUUAAUGUCUUAAAAUGCUGUUAAGAAAAAGUGCAUAGAAACCAGGAGUGAGCCAGAGUUAUAAAACAGAUAAUACCUUAUAUUUGAAAAACAAUCUUUUUCAAGGAAUUAUGAUUUAAAUUACAACUAAAUUAUAUUUUAGUUAAGGAAUUGAAUAAUCGAAUAAGGUAAUGUCUCUUCCUUAUGUUCUUCCUAAUUAUUUGAUCCUAUAAUGAAAAAUUUCCAAAACACUGGAUUUUUACAAUAAAAGUGUAUUUAAAUAGCUAUAACAUAAAUAUUUCUACAGCAAACACCAUAUGUAAAUCUCAGCC
rnacentral:lncRNA from 10 species